GCCGAAAGGCUGAACCAGUCACCUAGAAGGACGGAUACAUUAAUUUGAUAAAGUCCUAACGGAAAGGAGGAUAAUGACUGUACUUUCCUAUUAAUCCCGACCAAUCUCGUGCCAGCAGUCGCGGUAAUACGAGAGGGGUAAGCAUUAUUCAUCAUUAAUGGGUCUAAAGGGUACGUAGGCUGUAUCAUAAGACUGAAAGGUAUCGAACUAAAUGAAUAAGAGCUUUUCAGUAACUAUGAAACUAGAGUGUAAUGGAGGAAAGAGGAACUCCGAGAGUAGGGAUGGAAUCUGUUGAUCCUCGGAAGACCGCUUAAGGCGAAGGCUUCUUUCUAACUAAACACUGACGCUGAGGUACGAAAGUAUGGGGAGCAAAACGGAUUAGAGACCCGUGUAGUCCAUACCGUAAACGAUGAGUGCCUUAGAUUGGUUAUAAAUCAGUCUAUAAAUGUAGAUUAAAGCACUCCACCUGGGGAGUACUGCCGCAAGGUUGAAACCCAAAAGUAUAGAGGGUCUUGAAAACCAGCAGUGAAGCAU
rnacentral:rRNA from 1 species